GCCGUAGUAGUAUAAUAAAUUAUACUGGUCUUGUAAACCAGAGAUUGCACUGCACUACAGCU
rnacentral:tRNA from 1 species